AACGAACGCUGGCGGCAGGCCUAAAACAUGCAAGUUGAACGCCAUAGCAAUAUGGAGUAGCGCACGGGUGAGUAAUGCAUGGGAACGUGACCUUGAGUGGGGGAUAUUCCUUGGAAACGAGGAGCAAUACCGCAUAAGCCCUGAGGGGGAAAGAUUUAUCGCUGAAGGAGCGGCCCAUGUUAGAUUAGCUAGUUGGUUAGGUAAAGGCUGACCAAGGCGAUGAUCUAUAGCUGGUUUGAGAGGAUGAUCAGCCACACUGGGACUGAGACACGGCCCAGACUCCUACGGGAGGCAGCAGUUAGGAAUAUUGGACAAUGGGGGCAACCCUGAUCCAGCCAUGCCGCGUGAGUGAAGAAGGCCUUCGGGUUGUAAAGCUCUUUGUUAGGGAAGAUGAUGACGGUACCUAAAGAAUAAGCACCGGCAAACUUACGUG
rnacentral:rRNA from 1 species